rnacentral:rRNA from 1 species
ACGCUAGCUACAGGCUUAACACAUGCAAGUCGAGGGGCAGCAUGUUGGUUGCUUGCAACCAAUGAUGGCGACCGGCGCUCGGGUGAGUAACGCGUAUCCAACCUACCCAAUACUCAGGCAUAACCCGUUGAAAGACGGACUAAUUCCUGAUGGUAUGUAUUUCUCUCAUGAGUUAUACAUUAAAGAAUUUCGGUAUUGGAUGGGGAUGCGUCUGAUUAGUUUGUUGGUGGGGUAACGGCUCACCAAGACUUCGAUCAGUAGGGGUUCUGAGAGGAAGGUCCCCCACAUCGGAACUGAGACACGGUCCAAACUCCUACGGGAGGCAGCAGUGAGGAAUAUUGGUCAAUGGAUGGAAAUCUGAACCAGCCAAGUAGCGUGCAGGAUGACGGCCCUAUGGGUUGUAAACUGCUUUUAUGUGAGAAUAAAGUUAGGUAUGUAUACUUAUUUGCAUGUAUCACAUGAAUAAGGACCGGCUAAUUCCGUGCCAGCAGCCGCGGUAAUACGGAAGGUCCAGGCGUUAUCCGGAUUUAUUGGGUUUAAAGGGUGCGUAGGCCGUUUGAUAAGCGUGCUGUGAAAUAUAGUGGCUCAACCUCUAUCGUGCAGCGCGAACUGUUGAACUUGAGUGCGUAGUAGGUAGGCGGAAUUCGUGGUGUAGCGGUGAAAUGCUUAGAUAUCACGAAGAACUCCGAUUGCGAAGGCAGCUUACCGUAACGUUACUGACGCUUAAGCACGAAGGUGCGGGUAUCGAACAGGAUUAGAUACCCUGGUAGUCCGCACAGUAAACGAUGGAUGCUCGCUGUUGGCCUUUAAUGGUCAGUGGCUUAGCGAAAGCGUUAAGCAUCCCACCUGGGGAGUACGCCGGCAACGGUGAAACUCAAAGGAAUUGACGGGGGCCCGCACAAGCGGAGG